CUGAAUAAAACUGUUCUGACCUCAGAAGUUAAGGUUACAUAUGUACCAUGUGCAUUUAAACCUUAGUUUGGAAUAUGAAUGCUUUCCAAAGUAUAUAGGGCUUGAUAUAUUAAAAAAUAAUAAUAACAAAGUGUAUUUCAACUUUUCAGUGUGGGGAAAAAGCUUUACAAACUACAAUGAACUGGGGAAUUCACUGGGGAAUUUCAAGGAUAAUUGGGGAUCAGGUCUACAGUAGAGCUGCUGAAGGCAGAUUUAGGUGGCAGGCAGUUCAUGAAUGAGAACUGGGCUGGAAUCUCAAAUUAAUGGGAUGUCUUCUGGAAAUGAGGGCCAGGAAGGAAAAUCUUACUGAUUAUUUGAGUCUAACUUUCUGUCUCUCAUCUCUAGCCACCUGCCUGGACUGUUCUGGCCAAACAUGAGAGAGAUCUGCCAGGGCAAAUCUUGCAUAAGAUGUUCCAUUAUUCUAGUUUAAUCCAGCAGUCUAGAUUUGGGACAUACUUGUCUAUUUCCAAGCAGUUUUUUGUUUUGUUUUGUUUUUGUUUUUGUUUUUCCCAGGAUUUCCAUGGUUUUACUGCCAGGCAAUUUAGCUGAAAGUAAUUCAAUUUUCCCCUGUAUCUCAUACUAUGGGAAAGAACUCGUAAUAGAACAAAUAGUCAGGAGUUCAUAUGAUAUGACGCUUUAGGAUUUUUUCUUGCAAUUAUGACAUAAUUCUUACACAAUGUGUGUUCUAAUUUGUACAGGUGACGUACUGCAGGGAAUGUGAAUAGGAAGCUAUCACUUUGGUCUAAGUAUCUAUAACAACAAGAGAAGUGUUGGGAUGCAUGGUGAACUGAGAGCCAGUGGACAACACCACCUCAUGUAGAAAUAAAGUUUCCAACCCUAGACAUUGGAGGGAAUCGCCUGGGAAUGUUACAAAGAACAUGGGACGGACCCUGGAUGGCAAAUAAAUGGAGCUGGG
rnacentral:lncRNA from 1 species